UCUAUCCUCUAUCGAUGCGAGGGUGUCUCUCCAAAUCGUCCCUGCGCAAAAGAGGUGCGAAAAGAUGGGCGCAACUGGUCCGUUGAUAUGGUUCGCUGCAGUUCACCCGUCAGUAGUUGCUGCAGUGUCGUACGGUCCGGUUCGCUCGAGCAUCAGCGCAUCAGUCCAAGCAGGUCCGUCCGUCAACCCUUCCACCAGAGCUUACAGCGAGUCAACCGAGGGACGCUCCGAUGGCAGACAGUGCCAGUGCGGCGGGAGAAUCGUGCCCGGGCGAUACGGCCGAACCGGAGCUGGCGGUGGUCCGGCUGCGCUCGCUCGACGAGUCCCAGUCGCCGAGCAUCCGGUCGGACGGGUCCGGGUCCGGCGGCUGCCGCAAGUCCUCGCUGUACGUGUACGGCGACGGGCAGUUCAGCAUCACGCUCAAGCACUACGACAGCAUCGUGAGCGAGGUGAAGUGCCCGGGCUGUGCGGAGCCGAUGGACGGGCCGAUCACGAUGUGCGGCACCGGGCACAGCAUCUGCGCGGUGUGUCGCGUCAAGCGGGGCACCUGUCCGCUCUGCGGCGACCGGGUGACCGAGCUGCGCAACUACACGCUCGAGGCGAUCGUGUCGAAGGUGCAGUUCCCGUGCAGGAACGCCGUCAAGGGUUGCUCGGUCCGGCUGCCGCUGCAGCUGCUGCGCUGGCACAAGGAGCGGUGCGGCUACAAGCUGAUCGAGUGCUUCAUGGGCAAGGUGUGGGGCGGGUGCGGCUGGCACGGGUGCGAGCGGGACUGGCUGGCGCACUGUCUGGCCGAGCACGCCGACCACGUGCACGAGGACCGGUGCGUGGAGCUGCAGUGGGCGUACGGGGCCGAGGCGGCCCAGCGCGCACCCGAGCUGCAGCUGGUGGUCGCGUACCACGUGGUGCGCGCGUACGGCGAAGCGUUCAACCUGUACCAGGUGUACGACCAGGACAGCCGCACCGUACUGUGGACGGUGAUCUGCGCCACCAAGGAGUCGCAGGUGAGUGGGCGGUACGCGUUCGAGCUGGAGCUGUACUCGCCGGUCAACACCUGGCAGCUGCUGGUGCAGCGCUUCCCGUGCCACUCGGAGCUCGAUCCCGACUUUCUCAAGGAUGGCCACUGCGCGAAACUGCCGCUUGCCGAUGCGCUACGCUUCAUGACGGAAGAUAAGGUACUGCACUAUCGCGUUCGCGUACUUGAGGUAGGGCCCUCGCGCACCCAAAGCUUGAUGAAGCUAAACACUGGCGGCGGCGGCAACAGUAUCAGCACCUCGGCCACACACCUGCCCACCAACUACUGCUGCAAGAACAUCGAAAACGUCAACCUGAAAGCGGUUCCGGAAGGGAACAUCAUCUGCCGGAAGCAGCCGGCUCACAACAGCGAGACGGCCGGCACACCGGACGAUGACGAAGUCUUUCUACCGUACGUAGACGAGGAGGAGGAGGAAGCGAGGCCGAUUGCAGGCGCGGGCAAAUCGGUGCGCAUACACUCCGAACCGAACUCGCCCAGCCGCACGGCCAGCCUGCGGGUGGCAUGCUCCGUUCCCGUGCUGGCCCAGCCGCCGAGCGGCGAUGAUGCCGAUCCGCGGCAAGAGGUCGAGCUGCAGCCGAUCCAGCAGCUGGUGCGGGUCAGGAUUUCCGAGCGCGAGCCACCGGUCAAGCUGCAGGCACAGUACGGUGCAGUCCGCAAGGCGACCGGGGCGGCCGAGCGGGGCGCCUCGAGCGAAAGCCUGGCGCACAAGCCCAGCAAGGGCGGUACGGGUCUGUCCAAGUUCUACAACGUCACCAUGUACAAGGCGGCCAAGUUUCUGGACAAGAAGGGCAUCAAGUGAGGGGCGGUCGCGUGCAAAUGUCACAGCAGCGUUCCAGUGGUACGGUUAGGAUGUGUUGGGUGCUGCUCGCGAAGUAUAUAGAAACACUUUCAUUUCAUGAUGGCAAAGAGCGAUCGGAACUUUGUCGCUGGUUAAGCGCUGAUUGGAAAGAGUUCUUCCAACCGAUGGGCAGCUUGAAAGCUGCUUAACAAGCGCACGAUGCUCGUUGAAGCUUUCUGGUUUGUUAGCACAAUAGGGAAUUUCACAAUAUUACUGGACAUCUUUUGCAUUAGAAGUUUGACAUUUGGUAGCUGUAAUCAUGCCAAUACUCCAUACAACACCACACGCCACACUCAGAUUUUCGGGCUGAAAAAAUGUAAACAAAUACCGAUUCGUCGAUUUUGCUAAAGCAUACAUAUUUAGCAAACAAAAGAUUAAAGACAGUUUGAAUCAUUGUUUAAACCCGUAAUAAAAGUAUUAUAACUCAUUUCAUAAAGACAUAAAAAAGGGAACAAAACGAUUUUGCAAUGUACCGUCUUAUAGCGUGUAUAAUAGCCCGCCUUUUACGAAGCUAAGAGUUUAGUCUAAAUCGAUUUGAAAUAAAAUAGUCAAAUUUGAUUUUGAAUUUUGUGAAAUAAAUAGUAAACAUUUUUUCUAUAAAAAAAUUCAAAUGUUCAUUAGAAGGGAGGAGGGACGUCGUUAUACACGCUAAAAUAUGGUAUCUUAUCUUGUCAACAAUGGGUGAAAUGCUUAAAAAAACAAACAUUCCAGAUAACGGAACUUCAAAGCU